rnacentral:lncRNA from 1 species
AACAAGAGAGGAAUGUGAUAAUUGAUGCAGCGAAGGUUAAUUUUUCGGUAAACUAUGAACAUGACCGUGACAAUUACAUCGAUAAUUAUAUCAAAUACUCGAAAGGUCAAAUACUUGAAGAGUCAUGAUGUGACAUUUAAUUUUUUUCCUUUAUCAAAAAUCAUCUAUAAAUGCUGAGGAUGAACCCGGGAGUGUCAUCAUACUGUUACUCUGUCAGUUUGCUUGCUCCUGGUGCGGUGUGCUAUCCUCUGCUCUGCUCUGCUCUGCUCUGCUCCUGGUUCGUGUGAUCCUCAAGUGGUGAGUCUACUUACAUGUUUUCAAAUCGAAAAUUUCCAGUGAAUUUUAUUACCCGAAAGUGUCUUGUUUUCAUUACAAUAAUUUUCAUUACAAUAUUUCAAAACGAAAGUGGCUUGUUUUAAUGAUUUUCAGACAAAUAUAUUACCCAAAAAUUUCUAGUCAAAUAUAUCACCCGAAAAUCGAAAAUUUCUAGUGAAUUAUCCCACCCGAAAGCGACUUGAUUUAAUCCAAUAAUUUCUAGAGAGUUUUAUUCAAAUCGAUAAUCUCAAAAAGGUUACCAGUAUUUUCACUUCAAUAACGCGAUCUCACAUUUUUCACAAGAAUAUCGUGUCAGUAAUUUGAGACAGGCGAGAAGCUAGAAUUUUCCUUCAUUUUCGCGUGAUACCACAUACCUACUCCAGUGUGCGAAUAGUUGCGCGUUGGAUUUCCAUGUAAUUUGAGACGGAUGAAAAGUUAAGAUUUUCCUUCAUUUUCGCGAGAUACCAUCGAAAAUUUCCAGUUCAUUAAAUCGAAAAUUUCCAGUUCAUUCAAAUCGAAAAGUCAUCUGUUUUAAUCCAAAUUUUUAUAAAAUAAAAAACGUACUUGAUCCUCUUCUGAAAACCAAUUUCUCUCUCUCAAUUACAGAUUCGCCUAGUGCUAUUCCCACCUCCCGUCAGCUUCAUACCUGUGUGUGUGUCUCAUUUUUUAAAAUAUUAAUUGAUUCGCCUAGUGCUAUUCCCACCUCCCGGCAGCUUCAUACCUGUGUGUGUGUGUGUGUGUCUCAUUUUUUAAAAUAUUAAUUGAUACAUUCAUCCGUCCGUCUGUCUGUCUGUCCGUCCACCCGUCUGUCCGCCCGUUCUCGUUCUUACCCGACAUCCGAAAAGUGAGUUCCUUCUUCAAAAUUUUCUUCUCUUC